AUAAGCUUUUAUUAGAAAAAGAACAACUAGCACAAGAGAAAAGUGGUAUGGUUACAGAACUCAAGAAACUGCAAGAAAGUCAUGAGGAUAGUAGAAAAGAAGAAGAAAAUACAAAGCAGUUAGUUGAAAACCUGGAAGAAGCAAAUGGCCAGCUAAGAAAUGAACUGGAGUCUUUGAAGGAGAAGAUCGCAAAGAAAGGUGAAGAGAUUAAAAGUAAACUGGAUGAAAGAGAAGAAAACGUAUGCUAUAUCAUGUGCUUUAUCGUGAAAAUAUGUAAUCUCUUAUGGAAGCUUUCUUUCAGUGCUGCUACCAAUUGAGUCAACAUAUGUACACGUGCUGAGCCCUUUUAUUUUAAAAGACAAGGACCUUCAGUAGGAUGUUUACUCUUUACAUUGAGGCUUAAAAGUCCAGAUUUGAUAGAUUUCAGGCAAACAGAGAACCCUCUUUUUCUAUUUCUGUGUACCCAGUGAUGGAUGGGGUAUGGAUUAGCUUUCAAUAUGUAAUACGAUUUUUAGUAGUAUGUUCAAAUAUUUUUGCUUUAAUACUGUAGUUUCAAAGCACACCUUUUUUUUUAAAUCAUAAUGGAUUUCAAAAUUUCAUUGUAAAAGUCAAAGAAGAUACUCA
rnacentral:lncRNA from 1 species